ACAUAUCAAAUGCACAGUAGAUUAUUUCAAUGCGUAUAAAAAAGGUCUUCACAUAUAAGAGCAGUUUUAUGCGUUUGAUUUUACUAUCAUCUCUUCCUCUUCCCCUUCUCCUAAUGGGAUGCCCCUUCUCCUAAUGGGAUGCCCUACUAUACGAGCCUUUGCAAUUGGUAUCCCCCUUUGUUUGAAAUUCCAUAAUUGAUUGGCCGGUGAUAGUUGUCUUCUUGCAGCUUUAAUAGAACUGUAAUUUAUGUGCAAGACUGCGAGUUAUUCAACUUGAGCUUUUGUCAAAUUGAGUUAGGGUCUGUCUGGUACUCCGGUUCUGUGGGUUAGAGUGGAAAUUGUUUAAUGGUACUGCAUGGGUAAUAUACGUG
rnacentral:lncRNA from 1 species